rnacentral:rRNA from 1 species
AUUGAACGCUGGCGGCGUGCUUAACACAUGCAAGUCGAACGGCAGCACGGGCUUCGACCUGGUGGCGAGUGGCGAACGGGUGAGUAAUAUAUCGGAACGUACCCUGGAGUGGGGGAUAAUGUAGCGAAAGUUACGCUAAUACCGCAUACGAUCUACGGAUGAAAGUGGGGGAUCGCAAGACCUCAUACUCCUGGACCUGCCGUUAUCUGCUAUUAGCUAGUAGGUAGGGUAAAGGCCUACCUAGGCGACGAUUAGUAGCUGGUCUGAGAGGACGACCAGCCACAGUGGAACGGAGACACGGUCCAGAUUCCUACGGGAGGCAGCAGUGGGGAAUUUUGGACAAUGGGGGCAACCCUGAUCCAGCAAUGCCGAGUGAGUGAAGAAGGCCUUCGGGUGGUAAAGCUCUUUUGUCAGGGAAGAAACGGGCUUGGCUAAUAUCUAUGCCUAAUGACGGUACCUUAAGAAUAAGCACCGGCUAACUACGUGCCAGCCGCCGCUGUAACAC